rnacentral:rRNA from 1 species
GAUGAACGCUGGCGGCGUGCCUAAUACAUGCAAGUCGAGCGAACAGACGAGGAGCUUGCUCCUCUGACGUUAGCGGCGGACGGGUGAGUAACACGUGGAUAACCUACCUAUAAGACUGGGAUAACUUCGGGAAACCGGAGCUAAUACCGGAUAAUAUAUUGAACCGCAUGGUUCAAUAGUGAAAGACGGUUUUGCUGUCACUUAUAGAUGGAUCCGCGCCGCAUUAGCUAGUUGGUAAGGUAACGGCUUACCAAGGCGACGAUGCGUAGCCGACCUGAGAGGGUGAUCGGCCACACGAGAACUGAGACACGGUCCAGACUCCUACGGGAGGCAGCAGUAGGGAAUCUUCCGCAAUGGGCGAAAGCCUGACGGAGCAACGCCGCGUGAGUGAUGAAGGUCUUCGGAUCGUAAAACUCUGUUAUUAGGGAAGAACAAAUGUGUAAGUAACUAUGCACGUCUUGACGGUACCUAAUCAGAAAGCCACGGCUAACUACGUG